AGAGAACCUGAGAGCUGCUGGAGAUGAACGCUGUCGAGCUCAUGCGGUGGGAUCAUCCAAAGAGGCAGUUGGCAGCAUCCUCUCUUUAGGCAAUCAGCCGAACAGCAGGGGGCGACGGUCCAACAUGAAGAGUUCUGGCUUCUUGGUCCAUUACAGUAACAGAGCUUUCCUAUGUCAGCCGUGUAGCUGCUGUGCAGCUUCUGUGCC